AACUAUAACGUGCGGUGGUGAUACAAUAUAUGCGUGUGUGUGCUUUUUUGGCAGCAGGAUAAAGCCUGUUUUCCACUAGGCGGAAUUUUGCGCGCGGAGCGAAAUUUUUCUUUGUCUUUUCUAAUUAGUUCCACCCGAGAAAUCACAAGACAAAGAAAAAUUCCGCUCCGUGCGCAAAAUUCCGCCUAGUGGAAAACAGGCUUAAUUGCCCACACGGACCGAACGCGAUUCGGCAACGUGACGCGAAUUUUCAGUUUUCAAAAACAAAUAAAAAC